GAACGCACCUUGCACCCUUUGGUAUUCCGAAGGGUAUGCCUGUUUGAGUGUCAUUAAAUUCUCAACCAUACAAGUUUUUUCUUGUAAGGCUUGGAUGUGGAGGCUUUGCAGGUUCCUUAGUGAAUCUGCUCCUCUUAAAUGCAUUAGUGGGAACCGUUUGUAGGGGUUCAUUUAUGUAUUCACUUGAUGUGAUAGUUGUAUCAUCAUCGAUAUGUGAAUUACGGGAACUCUGAGGCUCUUGCUUCUAACAGUCUUGAACAAAGACAAUUUAAAUCUCAAUUUGACCUCAAAUCAGGUAGGACUACCCGCUGAACUUAAG
rnacentral:misc_RNA from 1 species